GAUGAACGCUAGCGGCAGGCCUAAUACAUGCAAGUCGAACGGUAAGGCCCUUUCGGGGUACACGAGUGGCGGACGGGUGCGUAACGCGUAUGCAACAUGCCUUCCAGCGGGGGAUAUACCAGGGAAACUUGGCGCAAUACCCCAUAGAAUUACGGGACCGCAUGGUCUUGUGAUUAAAAACUCCGGUGCUGGGAGAUUGGCAUGCGUGACAUUAGCUAGUUGGCGGGGUAACGGCCCACCAAGGCGACGAUGUCUAGCUGGUCUGAGAGGAUGAUCAGCCACACUGGGACUGAGACACGGCCCAGACUCCUACGGAGGCAGCAGUGGGGAAUUUUGGACAAUGGGGGCAACCCUGAUCCAGCCAUGCCGCGUGAGUGAAGAAGGCCUGGUGUAAGUACGUCUUCGCCGGUAGGAAUACGAC
rnacentral:rRNA from 1 species